CGCCUGUUUAUCAAAAACAUAGCCUAUUUGUUUAACCCAUAAUAGGUAAAUCCUGCCCAGUGACAAGUUCAACGGCCGCGGUAUCCUAACCGUGCAAAGGUAGCAUAAUCAUUUGUCUCUUAAUUAGUGACUAGUAUGAAUGGACAAACGAGUAUCAAUCUGUCUCCUUUAUUAAAAUAUAAAUUAAUCUUCAGGUGAAGAAGCCUGAAUUAUAAUAAAAGACAAGAAGACCCUGUCGAGCUUGAUUUAAAAGUAAAUAAAUAAGUUUAUACAAAAUUUAGUUGGGGCGACUAAGGAAUACAUAAAACCUCCUUAACCUAUCAGAAUUCAAUUCAAAUAAAAGAUCCAAUUAAUGAUCAAAGAAAUUAGCUACCGCAGGGAUAACAGUCUAAUUCUUCUCAAGAGUUCAAAUCUAAAGAAGAGAUUGGCACCUCGAUGUUGGCUUAGGAAAUCUAUUAAACGCAACCGUUUAUAAAGAGGGUUUGUUCAACCCUUAAAAUCCUACGUGAUCUGAGUUCAGACCGG
rnacentral:rRNA from 1 species